UGGCUUGCAUGAGUGAUGCACAAUGGCUUGAAUUGGUGGCCAUGUGGUCAAAGGAAGAACACAAGGAGAAGUGUGCAAAAAACAAAAUUAAUCGUGAGUGCGUCCAAUAUCAGCAGCGCACAGGUUCACGGUGCUACGAGGCACAAGCUUAUGUUGAG